CCUACGGGAGGCAGCAGUGGGGAAUAUUGCGCAAUGGGCGAAAGCCUGACGCAGCGACGCCGCGUGAGGGAUGAAGGUCUUCGGAUCGUAAACCUCUGUCAGCAGGGAAGAACGGUCACUGUGCUAAUCAGCAGUGAAUUGACGGUACCUGCAAAGGAAGCACCGGCUAACUCCGUGCCAGCAGCCGCGGUAAUACGGAGGGUGCGAGCGUUAAUCGGAAUUACUGGGCGUAAAGCGCUCGUAGGCGGUAUGUCAAGUCAAGGGGGAAAUCCCCGCGCUCAACGUGGGAACUGACUUUGAAACUGGCAAACUGGAGUGUGUGAGAGGAUAGUGGAAUUCCAGGUGUAGGAGUGAAAUCCGUAGAUAUCUGGAGGAACAUCAGUGGCGAAGGCGACUAUCUGGCACAUAACUGACGCUGAGGAGCGAAAGCGUGGGUAGCAAACAGGAUUAGAUACCCGGGUAGUC
rnacentral:rRNA from 1 species